GAUGAACGCUGGCGGCGUGCCUAAUACAUGCAAGUCGAGCGAACAGACGAGAGUGCUUGCACUCUCUGACGUUAGCGGCGGACGGGGGAGUAACACGUGGGUAACCUACCUAUUAGACUGGGGUAACUUCGGGAAACCGUAGCUAAUCCCGGAUAAUAUUUAGCUUCGCAUAGAGCAAGAGUGAAAGACGGUUCUGCUGUCACUUAGAGAUGGACCCGCGGUGUAUUAGCUGGUUGGUGGGGUAACGGCUCACCAAGGCCACGAUCCAUAGCUGACCUGAGAGGAUGAUCAGCCACACUGGAACUGAGACACGGCCCAGACUCCUACGGGAGGCAGCAGUAGGGAAUCUUCCGCAAUGGACGAAAGUCUGACGGAGCAAUGCCGCGUGAGUGAAGAAGGUUUUCGGAUCGUAAAACUCUGUUGUAAGGGAAGAACAAGUACGUUAGUAACUGAACGUACCUUGACGGUACCUUACCAGAAAGCCACGGCUAACUACGUG
rnacentral:rRNA from 1 species